rnacentral:lncRNA from 1 species
CCCACAUGGAAAAUCAUUGAAGAUUCAAUUUCAACUCAACAUAUAUGGCUCUUGAUGUGAAAAUAAAACGAGUAUAAUCUAUUUCACAAUAUCAGUACAGAAAUUAUAAAUAGAAGAUCAUAUUCCAUUAUAUACAACAACUACUACAUAUACACACAGCCUUUUUUUAUUUUUUAUUUUUUAAUGAGCCAGCUGUCCCGGAAAAUAGACUGGUAUUGCAGCAAAACUAGCAGGAGCACAAUGAAAGCAGCAACUCCCCAUGGUGAGCUUCCCUCUGAAGGUUCAUGGUAGGUUAUCCUGCGGCUUCCCCAUGGAAACAAGGAGAAGAACCAAUCAGGAUCCAGAAAAGACAGCAACUUAACAAGAAGCAGAAGUGCUAUUGCUGUAAACAAAAGCAGCCAACUGAAUUGCGUUUCAGCUUCUUCCACAACUGAGUCAUGGGAUGAGUACCAGGAUAUGCCAAAAAAGAUUGAGAUUACUGCAAGAAUUAGCAGAACUGGAUAUGGCAGAGGACUUAGAGAGAACCCUUCUAUGAAAGAGCUGGUUGGGCUUCGUCCAUAGGCCAUGGAUAUUGGUUGGAUGGUUUUUCUUGAUUAUGAAGAGAAGUUUUAGUGUUCAAAUGGACAAGUUCAAGAGGUGGUUCGGAAUUGAAGGGCUUGUGUUUUAUAGCCAAGAAACAGGUAAGUGUCUGCUUUGUGGAGUUUCAUUUAUGCACUGAAGGGUGAUGCAUGCGGCCAAGUACAAGAAAAAAUCAAGGCACAUAAGAUAAGAAGAAGAGCUCUUAACUUAUGCAUAUGUGUUGUACUUUGAUAAGAU